rnacentral:lncRNA from 1 species
AAAAAAUGAAGGGGCACCCUCACGGAACUAUAGAACUUUCAGUUUUUUUACUGUACAGCAAUGCGUAGCAGACAUUUUAUAAAUGAGAGAGAAAUUAAUAAAACUAGAUGCAUGGUAUAAAAGAAACAGGCAAGGAUUUUGGCUUUAAAUAUUUGAGCUUUCUGCUAACAUGUUCCCCUAAAGCAGAGACAAAGAGGCAGUUGCUACAGCCCCCCCCCCCCGGCCCAAAAAAAAAAAAAAAAAUUAAGGCGUGGUCUGCACCCACAGGCCUAUCGGGCGGAGGGUACGGUUUGCGCCGAAUGCCGGCUAAAUAUCAGGAUCCUUUUUUGUGGGUGGGGUAGAUCCGACUACAUUCUUAACUCUCUCUC